rnacentral:rRNA from 1 species
GACGAACGCUGGCGGCGUGCCUAAUACAUGCAAGUAGAACGCUGAAGGAGGAGCUUGCUUCUCUGGAUGAGUUGCGAACGGGUGAGUAACGCGUAGGUAACCUGCCUGGUAGCGGGGGAUAACUAUUGGAAACGAUAGCUAAUACCGCAUAAGAGUAGAUGUUGCAUGACAUUUGCUUAAAAGGUGCAAUUGCAUCACUACCAGAUGGACCUGCGUUGUAUUAGCUAGUUGGUGGGGUAACGGCUCACCAAGGCGACGAUACAUAGCCGACCUGAGAGGGUGAUGGGCCACACUGGGACUGAGACACGGCCCAGACUCCUACGGGAGGCAGCAGUAGGGAAUCUUCGGCAAUGGACGGAAGGCUGACCGAGCAACGCCGCGUGAGUGAAGAAGGUUUUCGGAUCGUAAAGCUCUGUUGUAAGAGAAGAACGAGUGUGAGAGUGGAAAGUUCACACUGUGACGGUAUCUUACCAGAAAGGGACGGCUAACUACGUG